rnacentral:rRNA from 1 species
UGGGGAAUUUGGACAAUGGGCGAAAGCCUGAUCCAGCAAUGCCGCGUGUGUGAAGAAGGCCUUCGGGUUGUAAAGCACUUUUGUCCGGAAAGAAAUCCUUGGCUCUAAUACAGUCGGGGGAUGACGGUACCGGAAGAAUAAGCACCGGCUAACUACGUGCCAGCAGCCGCGGUAAUACGUAGGGUGCAAGCGUUAAUCGGAAUUACUGGGCGUAAAGCGUGCGCAGGCGGUUUGCUAAGACCGAUGUGAAAUCCCCGGGCUCAACCUGGGAACUGCAUUGGUGACUGGCAGGCUAGAGUAUGGCAGAGGGGGGUAGAAUUCCACGUGUAGCAGUGAAAUGCGUAGAGAUGUGGAGGAAUACCGAUGGCGAAGGCAGCCCCCUGGGCCAAUACUGACGCUCAUGCACGAAAGCGUGGGGAGCAAACAGGAUUAGAUACCCUGGUAGUCCACGCCCUAAAACGAUGUCAACUAGUUGUUGGGGAUUCAUUUCCUUAGUAACGUAGCUAACGCGUGAAGUUGACCGCCUGGGGAGUACGGUCGCAAAGAUUAAAAACUCAAAUGAAUUGACGGGGUCAUAGCUGUUUCCU